UGAAAUGAAGGUCAUGCCGUGCCUUGUGCCGCGCAGGCCAGUUGUGCUGCUAGGCUGUUGUAAAUUUCAUUUUUUGGAGAAUUUCUGAGCACUUCAGGAGGAGUAAUGAAUAAUGCCUUGCAGCAGCUCAUAAGGUGGAGCUCUGCACAGAUUGGUGAUUUGGAGAGUAACAUUUUCUUCCCUCUUGGUCUAAUCUUGGAGGAGGUGAGUC